rnacentral:tRNA from 1 species
GUGUCUGUGGUGUACACGGUACGCACGCCUGCCUGUGAAGCAGGAGGUACGGGUUCGAUUCCCGUCGGAUACCC